rnacentral:rRNA from 1 species
GUGGGGAAUCUUGCGCAAUGGGCGAAAGCCUGACGCAGCCAUGCCGCGUGAAUGAUGAAGGUCUUAGGAUUGUAAAAUUCUUUCACCGGGGACUAUAAUGACGGUACCCGGAGAAGAAGCUCCGGCUAACUUCGUGCCAGCAGCCGCGGUAAUACGAAGGGGGCUAGCGUUGCUCGGAAUUACUGGGCGUAAAGGGCGCGUAGGCGGAUCGUUAAGUCAGGGGUGAAAUCCCAGAGCUCAACUCUGGAACUGCCCAUGAUACUGGCGAUCUUGAGUGUGAGAGAGGUAUGUGGAACUCCGAGUGUAGAGGUGAAAUUCGUAGAUAUUCGGAAGAACACCAGUGGCGAAGGCGACAUACUGGCUCAUUACUGACGCUGAGGCGCGAAAGCGUGGGGAGCAAACAGGAUUAGAAACCCCAGUAGUCC